rnacentral:rRNA from 1 species
GAUGAACGCUGGCGGCGUGCCUAAUACAUGCAAGUCGAGCGAACAGACGAGGAGCUUGCUCCUCUGACGUUAGCGGCGGACGGGUGAGUAACACGUGGAUAACCUACCUAUAAGACUUGGAUAACUUCGGGAAACCGGAGCUAAUACCGGAUAAUAUAUUGAACCGCAUGGUUCAAUAGUGAAAGACGGUUUUGCUGUCACUUAUAGAUGGAUCCGCGCCGCAUUAGCUAGUUGGUAAGGUAACGGCUUACCAAGGCAACGAUGCGUAGCCGACCUGAGAGGGUGAUCGGCCACACUGGAACUGAGACACGGUCCAGACUCCUACGGGAGGCAGCAGUAGGGAAUCUUCCGCAAAGGGCGAAAGCCUGACGGAGCAACGCCGCGUGAGUGAUGAAGGUCUUCGGAUCGUAAAACUCUGUUAUUAGGGAAGAACAAAUGUGUAAGUAACUAUGCACGUCUUGACGGUACCUAAUCAGAAAGCCACGGCUAACUACGUG